rnacentral:rRNA from 1 species
GAUUUCUGGCUUGAUGCGCCUGACCCGCCGCGGUUACGCGUGUGAGUGUCGGUGCGCGUCUGCCAUCUUGCUGUGAGAACGAUUCCGCCCUUCACUGGGUUGGGGUCGCGAUCCGGCUCUAUUACUUUGAAAAAAUUAGAGUGUUUAAAGCAGGCGUUUGCUAUGAAUACAUUAGCAUGGAAUAAUAAUUUAGGACUUCGGUUCUAUUUUGUUGGUUUCUAGGACUGAAGUAAUGAUUGAUAGGGAUAGUUGGGGGUGCUAGUAUUCAGUGGCCAGAGGUGAAAUUCUUGGAUUCACUGAAGACUAACUUAUGCGAAAGCAUU